UGAGUUGAUCAUGGCUCAGGACGAACGCCGGCGGCGUGCCUAAUACAUGCAAGUUGAGCGCUGAAGGUUGGUACUUGUACCGACUGGAUGAGCAGCGAACGGGUGAGUAACGCGUGGGGAAUCUGCCUUUGAGCGGGGGACAACAUUCGGAAACGAAUGCUAAUACCGCAUAAAAACUUUAAACACAAGUUUUAAGUUUGAAAGAUGCAAUUGCAUCACUCAAAGAUGAUCCCGCGUUGUAUUAGCUAGUUGGUGAGGUAAAGGCUCACCAAGGCGAUGAUACAUAGCCGACCUGAGAGGGUGAUCGGCCACAUUGGGACUGAGACACGGCCCAAACUCCUACGGGAGGCAGCAGUAGGGAAUCUUCGGCAAUGGACGAAAGUCUGACCGAGCAACGCCGCGUGAGUGAAGAAGGUUUUCGGAUCGUAAAACUCUGUUGGUAGAGAAGAACGUUGAUGAGAGUGGAAAGCUCAUCAA
rnacentral:rRNA from 1 species